AUCCCAGCGAGUAUAACUCCCUCGCUUAUGCUUCUGCUGGAAAUUGUUGCGGAGUGUAUUUUGAGGGAAUUCAGAAAGAAGGAGCUGGAGUGAAACUGGAUAGUUCGAAGAAGCAUCGGGGAGGGAGAGAGAGGCUGUGUGUCUGUGCGAGUGCGCACCUUUGGAUAGGCUGUAACAGAAGAACUCAGGCAGACACAGGAGCAGGGACCGUGAGAGGACAGGAGAGACGACACAAAGGGGUUUGGACAGACUUAACGCCAGAAACAAUAUACAGCAAAUACCGCCAAUGUGCAAAAGAGAUGAGCGGCGACUUUUAUUCACAUCUUUCAGACGUGGAUCGGCUGUCCAGGUCUGAAGGUGACUCGUUGGCUGGGCCAGAGGCUGCAACACAGGACAUGGGUCCUGCCUCUUCCUACCACUCGUGUCUUGUGUUGCAGCCAGUGGAGCUGCCUGCAACACAAGACCACUCUGUCUGCCCUUCUGAUGAUGGAUUGAGUCUCUGGAACAUAGGAAUCCUAUCAAGUCACAGACUUUCUGACCAGAAUCCUCACUUUACAGCUGCCCCUGUGUCAAAUGACAUUAUAUAUAUAUUUUUAUUAAUCAAAAUCUGGCCUUCUCUAAAGAGGUAAUAAAAGUAUCAUAUGUUGGAUUUUUGUUCAUAAGAGUGCCCUAAAAGUACAUUUGUUUUCAUUUAUGAGGGAUCUUCUAGUUUUUGGCAAUUUAAAUCAAACAUGCAACUAUUGGCAAUACUGAUAAAGAAAUGAAAUGAGUCGACAUGUAGAACAUUUUGUAACAAAAUUAAUGUUUCAAUGAAAAAUGUUUCCAACUUUUCAUUAUGUUAAUUUGAUUCAUUUGAAAUAUGCCUGAACAUAUUUAUUGCUGCUGUCCCUUUUUGUACUAGGCAUAAAGAUAUAAGAUUAUUAAAACAAAACAAAAAAAAAUCUUGUAAUCAUUUUGAAAAAUCUAAUUGUAUCCUGCUGUCUUGAUGCUUUGGACUCUGUAGUUUGGUUCUUAAAUUCAUUAAUUUCUUUACUUUUUCGUUAUUCAAUAAAAGCAUAUUUUCACCAUGA